UCCGAGUUCAAGUGGUUAAGAAUGAAAAUGUUUUUCGUCUUUCUGGUUCUUUUUACUAGUCUUGUGGCUUCUGUUCAUCCUAAAGAAUAUAGAAACCCCAUUUGUCACAUCAUUUUUGAUCCCGGAAGAUGUAGCUCGAUGCGAAUGGUGUGGGCCUUUUCAGAAUAUGAAGAUGAGUGCAUAAGUGUGGCCUAUUCAGGAUGCGGUGGCAACAGAAACAGAUUCGCCACCAAGGCUCAAUGUGAACGUUUUUGCGCGACAAUUUAUGAAAUUUUUCACCUUUAAAUUUACUUAAUUAAAUUAUUUUUCUUAGUCAGCGAUGUUGACUAAAGCUGCUUUUGUAAUAAAUAAACAAAUCUUGACCAAA